GACGAACGCUGGCGGCGUGCUUAACACAUGCAAGUCGAACGGAAAGGCCCCUUUGGGGGUACUCGAGUGGCGAACGGGUGAGUAACACGUGAGUAACCUGCCCUUGACUUCGGGAUAACUUCAGGAAACUGGGGCUAAUACCGGAUAGGAAUCCUUGCUGCAUGGUGGGGGUUGGAAAGCUUCGGCGGUUUUGGAUGGACUCGCGGCUUAUCAGCUUGUUGGUGGGGUAGUGGCUUACCAAGGCUUUGACGGGUAGCCGGCCUGAGAGGGCGACCGGCCACAUUGGGGCUGGGAUACGGCCCAGACUCCUACGGGAGGCAGCAGUGGGGAAUAUUUCACAAUGGGCGGGAGCCUGAUGCAGCAACGCCGCGUGCGGGAUGACGGCCUUCGGGUUGUAAACCGCUUUCAGCAGGGGCGAAGCUUGUGGUGACGGUACCUGCAGAAGAAGCACCGGCUAACUACGUG
rnacentral:rRNA from 1 species